rnacentral:rRNA from 1 species
UACGUAGGGGGCAAGCGUUGUCCGGAUUUAUUGGGCGUAAAGGGCGUGUAGGCGGCCAUACAGGUCAGCUGUGAAAACUCGAGGCUCAACCUCGGGCCUGCAGUGGGUACGGGCAGACUAGAGUGCGGUAGGGGAGAUUGGAAUUCCUGGUGUAGCGGUGGAAUGCGCAGAUAUCAGGAGGAACACCAAUGGCGAAGGCAGAUCUCUGGGCCGUAACUGACGCUGAGGAGCGAAAGCAUGGGGAGCGAACAGG